GGCGAGCGUUGGCGCUGAGGCGGCGGAGGCGGUGAGACGGUGGCGAGUUCCCCGCUUGCAGUGGUCCACCUCUCUGCUCAGUCUGCUGUCACGUGGUCUCGCAACCUCUUCCAACAAUAGCUCUGCAUUGUCCCUGAAUACCAAAAGAAAAAUAGAACUCAAAUCCAACAUGAGCUCAGUCCCUACACGAAAGGGUGACGUCAGCACUGCUGAGGAAGCAUUUCUCGUCAGACCAAAGCAGGAAGCCAACCUCACCCCGAUCCAGCAGCAUGCCUCCCUCUCGGGGUCACAGAGCGCCCUCAGGGCUCGGAAGCAGAAUCCGGGGUGUGUGAACUGCAGCAUUCUUCCCAGCGCUAUUCUCCUGCUGUUCUUCUAAUCGAAAACAUACAAUGGCUAUCUAUCCUUAAGUCUUUGCUCACCCUGUUCCUGUGUCCUGGAACUUCCUUGCCUUUUUUCUCCAGUUGUCUACAUCCUACCGUCGAGAAGGUCCAGAGCAAAGACAGGUUUUUUUUGGCUGUCUGCACCCACAAUACCUGGCAUAAGUCCCCAUGGACAUAUGCCUUGUUGCUGCUGAUGCUGCAAAUGAUGCAGAUAGUGACAAUACAAGAUACUGCAGUAAACGCAAGGGGAAUAUGCAGGAUCUUGAAGAUGUCAGAAGAUGUUUGCAAACCUCAUGUGGAAUUCUGACAUGCAAGUAAAAGAAAAAUGUGGAGGCGGGGAGUGCAACUAUUUUAUCCAUAGCUUCUUGAGUGCAUACAAGAAAUACUUAAGUCCAAAGCUUCCUGAUUAGGCAUUAACAAACCACUUGGAGGAAGCCAGAGAGUAGUACGUGAAGAUUGUAGAGCUUGAAUAUCAGCUUUAUGACUUGAAGUUCUGUGCAAUCAGCUCUUCUUUGUCUCCAGGUUUACUUGGUUUCCCCACCAACUAUGUGGCCUGCUUGGCCAUUCUUUGUGAAAUCACAAAGAUUUCUAGAUAUAAA